rnacentral:rRNA from 1 species
AGAGUUUGAUCAUGGCUCAGAGCGAACGCUGGCGGCAGGCCUAACACAUGCAAGUCGAACGGAUCCUUCGGGAUUAGUGGCGGACGGGUGAGUAACACGUGGGAACGUGCCCUUUGGUUCGGAGCAACUCAGGGAAACUUGAGCUAAUACCGGAUGUGCCCUUCGGGGGAAAGAUUUAUCGCCAUUGGAGCGGCCCGCGUCUGAUUAGCUAGUUGGUGAGGUAAAGGCUCACCAAGGCGACGAUCAGUAGCUGGUCUGAGAGGAUGAUCAGCCACAUUGGGACUGAGACACGGCCCAAACUCCUACGGGAGGCAGCAGUGGGGAAUCUUGCGCAAUGGGCGAAAGCCUGACGCAGCCAUGCCGCGUGAAUGAUGAAGGUCUUAGGAUUGUAAAAUUCUUUCACCGGGGACGAUAAUGACGGUACCCGGAGAAGAAGCCCCGGCUAACUUCGUGCCAGCAGCCGCGGUAAUACGAAGGGGGCUAGCGUUGCUCGGAAUUACUGGGCGUAAAGGGAGCGUAGGCGGACUGUUUAGUCAGAGGUGAAAGCCCAGGGCUCAACCUUGGAAUUGCCUUUGAUACUGGCAGUCUUGAGUACGGAAGAGGUAUGUGGAACUCCGAGUGUAGAGGUGAAAUUCGUAGAUAUUCGGAAGAACACCAGUGGCGAAGGCGACAUACUGGUCCGUUACUGACGCUGAGGCUCGAAAGCGUGGGGAGCAAACAGGAUUAGAUACCCUGGUAGUCC